rnacentral:rRNA from 1 species
AGUGAACGCUGGCGGUAGGCCUAACACAUGCAAGUCGAACGGCAGCACAGGAGAGCUUGCUCUCUGGGUGGCGAGUGGCGGACGGGUGAGGAAUACAUCGGAAUCUACUCUGUCGUGGGGGAUAACGUAGGGAAACUUACGCUAAUACCGCAUACGACCUACGGGUGAAAGCAGGGGAUCUUCGGACCUUGCGCGAUUGAAUGAGCCGAUGUCGGAUUAGCUAGUUGGCGGGGUAAAGGCCCACCAAGGCGACGAUCCGUAGCUGGUCUGCGAGGAUGAUCAGCCACCCUGGAACUGAGACACGGUCCAGACUCCUACGGGAGGCAGCAGUGGGGAAUAUUGGACAAUGGGCGCAAGCCUGAUCCAGCCAUACCGCGUGGGUGAAGAAGGCCUUCGGGUUGUAAAGCCCUUUUGUUGGGAAAGAAAUCCAGCUGGCUAAUACCCGGUUGGGAUGACGGUACCCAAAGAAUAAGCACCGGCUAACUUCGUGCCAGCCGCCGCCGUAA